ACUUUCGUCUCUCCGCUGGUCCUGCCUUCUUGAUGAAAAAAUAUAUAUAUUUUACAUACAGGAUAUUUGCUCCAUUUAGAUAAGAAGGGGCAGAACAAUAGCUACCUCUGUCAGCUCUUGUUUGUCGCUGGGGCAGCCGGUCCAAGGCAGACCUUGCCUUGCACCCCAGACAGUAUUAGAGACCGUGUGUCAUCCCACAAUUUUGUUUAACAUGUUUUUUGCAUUUUUAUUUUUUUUUCUUUUGGCUGGAGCGUCUUUAGCCUGACUCACUGAAUUUCCGUCUCUUCCCACAGAUUUUUUUAUUAAUGCGUUUUCCAGUCACAGGCAAAAGUUAAGGGGAGAAAAUCGUCAAUACAAUUCGGUCGCGGCAGGCAGAGAGAAAAUAAUUAAAAGUCUGGCGAUUAAAACGUAUUUAAAACACAGUUCGGCCCCUCUCCUUUCGCCUCCCAGCAAGGAGCGUGAGACGAGGGUCCAGUCCCUGCCAGAAAUGAGCGACUCCGCGUUAGAAUGGGCACUGCACAAAAAAAAACCCUGCAACCACCAGGUCUCAAAUCUCAUUUUAGACCUGAGCAGCCUCUGACGUGCAGUUCUCUCUUUCAUUCAACCGGGCGCGAUCCCCAGAAAAGAAACGCGCUUUCCUUUUUCCGGGAAAAGCUGAAACCCUCCAAAGGACCCGAGGAAAAGAGACAAUACCCGCCUGUCCAGCUCACCCGCUUCCCCCCCUCACCCCCCCGCCCCUUGCAAAAAUAACAAGCAGCGACCAGCGGAACACAUCAUGCAACACUUUGGGCGUCCUUUAUUCCCCACUUCUGCAAACUGCUGCAGCCCGAGGAGAAUUGCAGAGGGCAGAAUAAAAAGAGGGUGAAGCCAAGAAAGAAGUGUCCAGGCAGGAGGACACUCCUGCACGUCAGAGCUCUCGGUGGAGAGGAUUACCUUGUCCAGUGCCAGUUGUGUCCAGUCUUUUUGUUCCCCCCUUAGUCCAACCGCGGGGAGGGGAGGGGGGGAGGGGGGUAAAAAUUAUAUCCAAAGUUAUUCUGCACCCGCCCCUUCCAAAAGGGAAAUGCAAUAAUGCCACUAGUGUUUCUACUCGGCUGCGGCAGAGAUGCCUUAUUAAUACUUUAUUUCUCCAAGAGCGAAGCUGGCAGGAGAGAGCUGUAGAUCCCCCUUGCCCCUCCCUCUCCUCCCUCCCCCCUCCUCUGAAAUUAGCCUCAUCAAUUCAGCUACAAUUUUUUAGUUCAGAUGCAGACACGGGACUGAACGUGACCAGACCUGGAGGUUUGAGCUUGCUGCUUGCCAGAGAUUGAGGCCGUCUGCAGCCGGGAGGUGAAGCGGGGCGGGGGGCAUGAGGGGGGGCAGAGGGGACAGCCCGACCGCCUUCCCUCUCCCCCCACCCCCGUCCUCCCCCUGUCUGCUUUACAAUCCAGGGGUCUGCGCUGGGGUCCCCGGAGAGCAGCACAUCUGGAUGCUGCUAGCGGGGUCAGGUCCCCCCUUGCCUAGGGCCACAAGAACUGGAGUUCAAUUAAAAGAAAUCACGGUUAA